GACGCGUUCCACAUUUACAAGUGAGGGUCACAGGUCUUUCAAAAGAGGCCUUAGCAGAUGUCCACACGAUCUAAAAAGCCCUCAUUACUUUGGCCCGGAGUGUCAUGUAUAUAGAUUUGUUUUUGUGGCACUUUGCCUACAGCUGGUGACGUCUCGACGGAAGUAAAACGUCCUCAACUGGACGAAAAAGAAAAGAAACGCCUUUAACUUUUAAGUAUAUUUUCUCUUUUGUGUUUGCUGCUUUAUAUAAUCCAUGGAUCUGUUGUUGGUCUUCGACCCCCCUACCAGUCGAUACUGCCAAUAUCAAGUGUUGUACGUACGUGUACGUCGUUCCCGCCUUCGAUUGAUCACGCGCUGCUGUAGUUAGCAGACGAUAGCUGUUGAAGCAUCAUGGCGGACACUUGAAGCAAAAUAUAUGAUGUUCAAAACACAAAGAUGAGCCGGUGGCAGAAGAAAUUUAUUUUUGGAUUAUUUGCUUUCUUUCAACUUUGUGUUGCAGCUCAUGCCAUAGAUUGUUAUAAAUGUUCCUCCGAAAACUUCACGGACCCAUUCUGCCACGACCCUUUCCAUCCUGCCUACAAUAACCUGACCACGGACUGUGGGGAGGGGCGGAAUGGCCGGGUGGGCCUUUUCCCAGCAAGGUUUUGCACCAAGAUCAUAGGUAAAAAUUCGGUGGACGGUACCGAAAAAAUCAUUCGUUCAUGCUCUAUUGAAUCUCUAGAUACAAUAUGUGGUCCAUUCAAUUUAGAAAACGUAUUAUAUUCCGGAUGCAUUUCCUCUUGUGCGACGGACGCCUGUAAUCCCGGACGAAGACUACAAGCGGAUGCCACGACCUACAUCAUCCCUGCAAUGAUUUGUACAAUAAUCAUUAUGUUUAGAAUGUGAAUGCAGAAUUGAUGUGUUCUUGUCACGACAAUCCUCUGUGCCCUGCCGCUACACGGCAUCUGAAUUAAACCGAAAUAGCGUGACGCCUUUUUUCUAAUUACAUGUGAAGGAAGUGGUUUAUUUUUUUUUUCCAAUUUGGAAAAUGCAAUAACUACAUAUGUGUAAACAUUACAUUUUCAAUAAUUAUAUUUCUAUUCAUCAAAACCCAAUGAAGAAAACGAACAGACGUUUCUGAAUGAUGUAAUCAUUCUUUAUAUUAGUUAUAAGUUGUUUGAAAUGUUUUAAUUACAUACUUUGUGAUGAGUAUAGGCAACUUGCACAUGGGCGAUACUAGUUACGUCAUAAGUCAUGUCACAUGCCUGCUCGGUCAAUAUCCAUUAUGUAAACAUGGCUAAAGUCACGCAUGACGAAUCCGUUACACACAACUUGCAGAAAAUUUGCUUUUGAAGCUCCAGCAUUAAUCAUAUACAAUGUAUUUGAAUUUUAAAAGAACAGGUUUAUGUUUACAUUGAAUAUGUAUGUUUUCAGUUUAAACAGAUUAAUUUCUUAGAUAAAUGGUUAAAUGAUAAUAUUUCUUUCUGUGUAUUUUUGUGUGUGUGUAAAUUACUAAGUAUAAAUGAUUAUGAUAAGCUCAACACUUUUCUCAUGUUACACCAACAUCAACCCUCGGCCAUAUCAGCCCUGCGCUAAUUAUAGUCCCCACCAAUAUCAUCCCUCGGCCACUAACAGGCUUCCGCCAAUUAUACCCCCCCCCCCUAUCAUCCCUCGGCCAAUAACAGGCCUCCGCCAAUAUCGGCCAUCGACUAAUAUCAGUCCUCCACCAAUAUCUGCCAUCGACUAAUAUCAGUCCUCCACCAAUAUCUGUCAUCCAUUAAUAUCAGUCCUUUGGGUUUGGUAUUUGGUUUUGAGAUGGAAUGUAAUAUUGAAAAAAGUGUAGAUUCUAUGUACAUAAUUAUCAUUCUUUACACAGAACAAAAAAUCAGUUUUUCAUGUAGAAUGACAAAACAGGAGCAUUCGCUCAAUUUGUUGAUAACUUUCCAAGAUACAGUUUUUAUUUUCGACUGAAUUCUGCUUUGAGUAUCGGCAGACAUCAUUGUUUACGUAAAUAGGCAUCAAUUUUAGUCUGAGGUUAUUAAACAUCGCCUUAUUGGAUCAAGUAUGAUAAGUCCUUUUUAUGUUGUCCAACGGGCUGAUCAAUGAUAUAAAUUUGUAGUCCAUAUAGUUAUAUAUAUUGUGUGUGAACGGUCAACAGGGGAUGUUUACUCCUCCUAGACACCAGUGGUUGCCCUUCUCUUAAUUUUGUUUUCUGUAUAGAGUUUUGAGAUUCAUCGCUACUCGUUAUCGUUACUCGUUCAUGAUAUAGAUUUAACUUUGGGCAGGACCGGGAAUCGAACCGGGACCCCUGCAAUACUAGUCACGUGCUCUAACACUGGGCUAUCCAGGCCGAUAUCCACGAUCCAUACACAUGUAUCCCUAACUAAUGCUAUUCAUAAGUUCAAUGCACACAUAGAGGUUCACCAGUUUAAUAAACAAACACAAUGAAACUUUGGUCAGACAAUAAACUUAGGAAACAAUAAAAUCCUGAAAUCUUUCUUCGUCCUCUUCAUACAUCUCAUCUUCUAUUCUUUUACAUAAGCAAAUCGACAUGAUCAUACCAAUCAACUGCAAGAGAGAACAAACUUUGAAAACUCCGUGCCAGUAGACCGGUCCACAUCAAAUCGGGAAUUAAUUUGUUUGGUAUUGUACCGGCAAACUGAAUAAAGCACCGUAAAGCAACAUUUUUAACGAGUAUUUAAUUUUGGCAUUAUUAGCGAGAGUGAUGAGUCGCUAAAAUUGGAUAUCGCUAACAAUUUACUUCAUGUUGGAAGUAAUAGCUAUCUUCCUUGGAAUUAUACAGUCGCUAAAAUUAUAUCUCUCGCUAACUAUAUAUACCCAAAAUUUAUGGAAAAUCGUUAAAUUUGUGUCUCAUUAAAAAUACCACUUAUACGGUCUUUUCCCUCGGAAUUAUGAAAUCAUAAUGAUGCAGAUGUUUUAAAUUUGCUUUCACAUAGCGUUAUAGUUUAUUUAUGUGGAAGAGUAAUUAAAUACCUUGUUUAGGAUUGUUCCGGUAAACUAAAUAAAUCCAUGUAUAGUUAUGAAUUGAUAAAGAUGUGAUGAAUUGUGUUGAAUUAGCUUUCAUACAUCGCUAUAAUGUACUCGUGUGGAACCGUAAGUGUAUUAAGGUUGUACGAGCAGUGUUUGUGGUAGAGUUUAACGCGUCUCUUAAUGUUAACAGUUUAUGAAAUACGAUAUGUGAAUAUUCUAUGUUAUACCAACACACACUGCUAAAUUCAGGCUGAAACCAUCACAUUUUUACAUCACUUACAUCCAAUACUACCGAGUGUGGUUGUGCUUCAACUAUUUUUAAUAAAUAUGUAUAUAACAGAC